UUCUUCUUCUUUUAAAGGGUCUAUAAAUAGGAAGAGGCAAGACACAUUAUCUGCAACUUGUGUUGUUAAGAAAAAUAUGGCAUCCUCGAAGACUUUUCUUCUUCUUGGCCUUGUGUGUGUUGUUCUCAUCCUCAUUGUCUCCGAGGCCUCAGCUCGUGAGCUAGCUGAAACUACUACUCAAAUUAAUCCCAAUGGACGUGGUGGCUACAAUCGUGGAGGGCAAGGUACCAAUGGACGCGGUGGAUACAACCGUGGAGGAAAAGGUGGUCACGGACAUGAGCAAGAACCCUACAGUCGAGGAGGGAAAGGAUAUGGUCGAGACCAUGGGCACUAUGAAAAACCAGGACCUUGAACUACUGAGACUGAAACAAAGAAUUCAGUAACAUUUAGUCCUUAGAGUACUACUAUCUUUGUAUGUCAAUAAAAAGGUCAUUUGGUUGAGUUGUCUAAUGAACUCUCAAUCAUAAGCCUGCCUUUAAUUAAGGUUUAUCUAUGUACUCUACAUAAUGAUCAUAGUGUCAAAAUAUCUACCAAUUCAAGUUUAUUGUUUGUGUGCUGAUUUCCUUUUGAAAUCUAUCAUCGCAAUUAAAUUU